rnacentral:rRNA from 1 species
AGAGUUUGAUCCUGGCUCAGGAUGAACGCUAGCGACAGGCUUAACACAUGCAAGUCGAGGGGCAGCACAGGUAGCAAUACCGGGUGGCGACCGGCGCACGGGUGAGUAACGCGUAUGCAACUUACCUAUCAGAGGGGGAUAACCCGGCGAAAGUCGGACUAAUACCGCAUGAAGCAGGGGCCCCGCAUGGGGAUAUUUGCUAAAGAUUCAUCGCUGAUAGAUAGGCAUGCGUUCCAUUAGGCAGUUGGCGGGGUAACGGCCCACCAAACCGACGAUGGAUAGGGGUUCUGAGAGGAAGGUCCCCCACAUUGGUACUGAGACACGGACCAAACUCCUACGGGAGGCAGCAGUGAGGAAUAUUGGUCAAUGGACGCAAGUCUGAACCAGCCAUGCCGCGUGCAGGAAGACGGCUCUAUGAGUUGUAAACUGCUUUUGUACGAGGGUAAACGCAGAUACGUGUAUCUGCCUGAAAGUAUCGUACGAAUAAGGAUCGGCUAACUCCGUGCCAGCAGCCGCGGUAAUACGGAGGAUUCAAGCGUUAUCCGGAUUUAUUGGGUUUAAAGGGUGCGUAGGCGGUUUGAUAAGUUAGAGGUGAAAUUUCGGGGCUCAACCCUGAACGUGCCUCUAAUACUGUUGAGCUAGAGAGUAGUUGCGGUAGGCGGAAUGUAUGGUGUAGCGGUGAAAUGCUUAGAGAUCAUACAGAACACCGAUUGCGAAGGCAGCUUACCAAACUAUAUCUGACGUUGAGGCACGAAAGCGUGGGGAGCAAACAGGAUUAGAUACCCUGGUAGUCCACGCAGUAAACGAUGAUAACUCGUUGUCGGCGAUACACAGUCGGUGACUAAGCGAAAGCGAUAAGUUAUCCACCUGGGGAGUACGUUCGCAAGAAUGAAACUCAAAGGAAUUGACGGGGGCCCGCACAAGCGGAGGAACAUGUG